GAUGAACGCUAGCGGCAGGCCUAAUUCAUGCAAGUCGAGGGAGAAUGUUGGAUACGUCUGACAUGAAACCGGCGCACGGGUGCGUAACACGUAUGCAACCUACCUUUAACUGUGGUAUAGCUCAGAGAAAUCUGAAUUAAUCCCCCAUAAGACUACGACAUGGCAUCAUGAUGUAGUUAAAGCUCCGGCGGUUAAGGAUGGGCAUGCGGUACAUUAGCUAGUUGGUGAGGUAAUGGCUCACCAAGGCUACGAUGUAUAGGGGGUCUGAGAGGAUGAUCCACCACACUGGUACUGAGACACGGACCAGACGCCUACGGGAGGCAGCAGUAGGGAAUAUUGGUCAAUGGACGCAAGCCUGAACCAGCCAUGCCGCGUGAAGGAUGAAGGCCCUAUGGGUCGUAAACUUCUUUUAUUAGGGAAGAAAAAACGGGAUGCGUCCUGUACUGACGGUACUUAAUGAAUAAGGAUCGGCUAACUUCGUGCCAGCAGCCGCCGUAA
rnacentral:rRNA from 1 species